rnacentral:rRNA from 1 species
UACGUAGGUGACAAGCGUUGUCCGGAUUUACUGGGCGUAAAGCGUGCGCAGGCGGUUUUGUAAGUCUGUCGUGAAAGCCCCGGGCUCACCUGGGAAUUGCGAUGGAGACUGCAAGGCUUGAAUCUGGCAGAGGGGGGUAGAAUUCCACGUGUAGCAGUGAAAUGCGUAGAGAUGUGGAGGAACACCGAUGGCGAAGGCAGCCCCCUGGGUCAAAACUGACGCUCAUGCACGAAAGCGUGGGGAGCAAACAGG